GGGGGCAAUUUAAAGAUGCGCACGCCCGGCGUGGACGGCACUCGGUGUUUCCUUAACGGCAUUUUACUGUUUGAGAGCUUUUCCGUUACACUGCGCUUGGCCAUUGUUAAUAUCCGCCACCGCGUCCUCGCCAGUGAAGGGAACAUCUGGCCCCUCCGCUUCUGCUAGCCUAAUUAUUUUUAUGCAAAGCGGGCACGGCGAAACGCCGCCACGAGCCGCACGCCCGCAAACGGGCAAACUCUGCCUCCAUUGUUCUCGCCGCUCGCGCUCCUUAAUUAAGAUGCGCGAGGCGCCGCGCUCCUUUGUCUCCAGGGCGGCGCGCGCGUGCGCCUCGGCAGCGCGCGGCGGCACAGACGCAUCCUCCGCUGCAGCCGGGCUUCCUCCUGAGGUUCGGCGCGCGUCGCUCACACACUGACAGAAAUAGGUUGGCUCGCAUUAAGAAGAAGUAGCCCCUCUUAAAACAAGCAAACAAACAAGCGAGCGCGCAGAACAGGCGAUGUCACAUCCGCAGCGGCUCCUAAUUUCAGACUCGAGAGGUUAAUUGCCUCCCGUCGCUUCAAAGGCGAGUUUUGAUGUGCGUUUUUGAGCGCUGUCUUUAGCCUAGCCGGAGAGCAGAGGGGAGGGGGGCACUUGAGAAUUCACUGGCGGUAUAACAGCACAGACGUCUCCUCAGAUCCGUGUCAAAAUAAACCCAGACCUUUUUAAGGCGCCGUGCUUUGAAGUGGUGGAGAGCCUCAAAUCCGAGCUCCUCGCAGCAUUGGACGGCCUGAAAAAUUAGCAGCCGCGCGGCGCCUGCCUUUGAUGUCUGCCUUUCUCUCUGCCCAUUUUAAAAGAGAAAUCACAAGAAAUGCACCCUGACUCCUAGAUUAAGAUAAUGAUUUUGCUGGAUGGCGGCACAGAUGCGUGGAGAUUUCUACAAAUCUGUGUGGUUUUGGCAGUGGGCACAUGAAAGGGCUGCGGCUCGCGACGGCGUGUGCAUCUGUCGCAUUAAAAACGUCGCGUCUGGCCGCCUCGAUGGGUUUGGAGGUGGCUGUCUUCCUCACUAAUGGCAAAGUGCUGUUGUCUUUGUGGCACUUGCUCGAUUCCAGUCUGAUUCAGUGAUCGGGACAAGAUGCCGGGCAUCGGCGGAGACAGCUUCAGGAGGUGGGCCGGGUGUGCAGGUUACGGCUUCUCCCUGCUCCCAUCUAACAGAGGAAUCCUCCUAUCAAGUACUAUGAGGCGUUUUCCUUUUUUUUUUUUGUUUUUUACCAACUCACUGCCAUAAAGCCUAUUAUACAGAAAAUCCUCCACGUACGAACGAAGAUGGGAGCGGCCAUGUCCAAUAAAUUAAAAAUAAAAAAUAAAUUGUAAAGUUUAAAGCUGCCA